AUAGAUUAUUUACUGGGGUUAGAAAAAUCUUCUAUCUCUCGACAUUCUAUCUUCAUUAUCUCUUCGGCUUCUUCUCUUUCUCAAGAAACUGUACACCUAUGAAACAGAGAUGGCUAGGUUACAUGGAAAUAUAAGAAACACAACAAACCACAGAUCUCAAACAAAAAGAUUAGGAACAUGGGGGAAGAACACGAAGGAGGCUACGCCUCGACCUCCGAUGAGCACCGACGGGAAGGAGAUUCAGUUAUCCGGGUCAUCACUACGGUGGCGUGUCCAUGCCAGCCGAUAGAACUGUCGCCGGUGUACCUUCAAAGCACCGCCGUCUCGGAAGCACUGCCGAUAGAAAUCCCAGAGGCAGCCCCUUCGACCGACGAGCCAUCACUUGGUUAGUGCUCAUGUCGUUAUUACUGUAGGAUGGUGGAGAGGUGGAGAUUUCUGGAUCUCCUACAGAGAAGGCUAUUCUGUCUUGGGCGUAUAAGUUUGAUACUAUCAGGUCGGAGUCUGCUAUCAUCCAUGCUUUCCCUUUCAAUUCUGGGAAAAAGCGCGGAGGUGUUGCUGUUCUUAGAGGUGAUUCUGAAGUUUUCAUUCAUUGGAAGGAGCGGCGGAGAUAGUUCUGGCUUGCUGUACACAAUACAUGGACUCAAAUGGUACUCUGCAGCCCACUUGAUAGCCAGAAGGAGUUUUUCAGACUUGCUAUUGAUGCCAUGGCGAAAAAUAGCCUGCGGUGUGUGGCUAUUGCAUGCAGAACACAAGAGCUGAACAAAGUUCCCAAGGAACAGGAGGACUUGGAUAAAUGGUCUUUACUUGAAGAUGAGUUGACUUUGCUUGCUAUCGUUGGUAUAAAGGAUCCUUGUCGUCCUGGUGUCAGAGAAGCAGUGAGAACUUGCACCAGUGCUGGUGUUAAGGUAGAUCCCACCAAGACCCCCGAGGCUCUCCUAUGGAUCCAAAAACGGUAUCGGAAGAGGGAGAAGAGAAGCACCACUGAAAUGUCACCGGACGCCAACUACUCUGUCAGUAAGCUCAGACGCUGAAGGAGGGGUGGGUGGGAGCCGGCCUGACUGUCCGGAAUGGCUCCACCUGAUGCGAUCUCGAAAAGUUGGGAGAGAAAGAGGGGCGCAUGGUAAGCAACUUUUCUUCUCUUUCUCACUCUCCGUUGAAUGUUGCAAUGAAUUUUCAGUUCAGAUUUAAGUCAAUAAAUCCCACGAACUCUCUGUCUCCCUUGCUCUACAAUAGCCUGAUGCGUAUGAAAACCGAGGAACACCUCUAACCCUACAAAUAAAAGGGGGCUAAGACUGGAAUCAAGCUUCACAAACACGCUCUUUGAGUUUAUCUUCACUCGAAACCUAGAGCCCUUCUUCGGACAUAUCAUCCUCCGAUGCUAUUGUUGCCCCAUCAGCCGUCAGCCACUCAAAACUUUGAAGCUCUCCCACAUGCGACUUCCCAAUUCAUUGUUUUCCAUACAUAUAUUUUGUCAGGCAACACUCUUGCUUGUACAGGUAACCUCUAUCUGACCUCCACACCAUCUACCAAAUUUUACUAUGACACCAACAUUCCUGCCAUCAAAGAGUUCACAAGCAGCUUGGGAGAUGCAGCAUCAGAGGUAAUGUGUUGAUACCAUGGAAGAGAUCAAAAAGAAAGAGCUUGUGUAAAUUGGAGAUAUAAACACGCUAAUCUUCAACUCUAACGAGCAGGUUAAUGAUUAUCGGACGUCAUUGUUCUACUACAUAUCCGGUGAAAAAGAGAAGAAAAUAAUAUUCAUUGAGCUUCACUAGCUCAAGUCCUUAUUGGCUUCCUUACUUUUUGUUGUAUCUUAACAAGAUUAAUUUGCAGUUAAACUAUCAACAGAAUUGAGUGCC